GGAUGAAUGGUUUAAUGACUUGAUGAUAUGCUACAUUGAGAAGCAGAUAUUUAGAAGCAUUGGUAAUGAAAAAAUCAUGCAACAUUUUGAAGAGAUGAAAAAACGCCGUAUGUUGUUGCCUAAACAGAAUUUAGUGAUUGCUCCUCAUGAAGAAUAAUGGGUAUCAAGUAGGUGUUUGGUGUGGAGAAAUUGUCGAUUUGUCUUUGGCUACUUUUUCAACAUGUAAUUUGUAUUAUUCCUCUCUGUUUUUAUAUAUGCUACUUUGAACUAUGAUGCUGCUCUAUUAUGAGAAUUGAGAUAAUAUAAUUGUUGGUUGCGU